GCCAUCUUAGCUCAGCUGGUAGAGCGCCUGACUUGUAAUCAUGAGGUCCCCGGUUCGAAUCCGAGAGAUGGCU
rnacentral:tRNA from 1 species